rnacentral:lncRNA from 1 species
GGAAAGCAGAACUGCCUGACUCAACAACCCAUGGAGAUAUGAGAAGUGAUGAGUUGUCAUUGUCGUCUUAAGCCACAAGGUUGUGGGGUGGCUUGUUCCCCAGCACUGGAAAACAAAACCUGCUGAGACUUGAUUUCCUGGACGUUGGCCCAGCCAUGGGAAGAAGUGAAAGGCAUUUGUGACAUGGAGGCAUGAGAUGGCCACGUCCAGAUCAGCGCAGCUGAAGGUAAGCAGGCCUCUCCAAGAUUUCCCCGAUCAAUAAUGCAGUGAGAAGACUGAUGAGACUCCACAGUGUGAUUUAUCACAGAGCACAACAGGGUCAGCAAAGAAGAAAGGCACAUGAGGCAAAGUCUGCAGAACACUUCAUGAGAAUCCUCUCCUCACACAUGCAAUUCCUGCAGCAGUGGGAUGCAGCAGUCCCAUGAAACCCUGCUCAUCAAGGCUCACUGCAUUAAGCAUCCCAAGACUUCUAGUAGAGACUGUGAGAGAGGUUUUUAUAUGUCCACUUGGCUAGAAUAUUAUGCUCAGAUAUUCUGUCAAGCACUCAUAGAAAUGUGAUGUGAGUGUUUUCUUCAAAGAUGGGAUUAACAUUAAAAACUGCAGUCUUGGAGUAAAGCAGAUUACAUACAAGGCCUUCAUAGGAAUGGCUGAGGUUUCCCUAAAAAGAAGAGGGGGAGACUAACCCAAGACUGUAACAUAUAGAAAGCUGCCUCAGUGUUUAGCCUGUUGCUCUGCAGAUUUGGAGUCAAUACUGCAAAAUACACUGAAUUGACAGCCUUCUAACCUGAAGGUUUUGACUUUACUGAUCACUUAAAUAUUCCCAAUAUUCCUCAAUCUCUCUCUCUCUCUCUCUCUCUCUCUCUCUCUCUCUCUCUCUCUGUGUUUCUCUCUCAGUGUGUGUGUGUGUGUGUGUGUGUGUGUGUGUGUGUGUGUGUGUGUAUUUGGAGUUCAGGCCCCUGUUCCUGGGUUACAUGUGAGAGGGCCAAAAGCAGGGGAGGGCUGGAUCUGGAUCUGUCUAGGAGGUGGCACCACUGUCUGGAACCCCGUUGUUCCUACACACCUAGGCUCCUCGGCUCCCUUCCUUCCUAACAUCAUCUAUACAAGGCUUGAACAUUUGAGGAUGUCAGUGUGACUCAAGGACAUACCUAAAACCAUAGAGCUGGACGGGGUUCAGUGGGCUCCCUAGACAAAAUGUGGUUCAAGAGCUAGCUACUUAAUGCAUGUCCUAGAAGAGUCAGAAAGGCAGAAAAGGUAGACUCUCAGACCCUAACCUAUCCCAGGAUCUACAAAAUUGGAAUAAAGAUUUUAACAAGAUCUCCAGACAACCCAAAAUGUUAAAGUUUGAGAAGCACUGUCAUAUUCCCCAGUUUAAAAUUUUAUUGUCUGUUGGGUGUGGCAGCCCACACCUGUAAUCCAGUAUUUGGAAGGCAAAGUCAAGAUGGUUACCACAAAUUCAAGUCCACUCUGACCUACAUAGCAAGUCUCAGGUCAGCCAGGGUUACAUAAAGACGCUCUGUGUCAAAAAAGGAUAGGCAGAAAAUUGAUUGACAUAAAAUAAAACUAAACCAUUAGAAGGGAGAAAUUGAACUAAGGAAAAGAUAUUUGGUCAGGAAAAGAGAAAGGAGAACUUAUUGUAUUUUUUUAUUUUAUGAUUCUAAAAUAUAAGGAAAAACAGAAAGUAAGAUCUGCCAUCUAGUUUUGCAAUAGUUGAAUUUUUCUGGAGUUUUCUCAAAUCACUGAGGUGAUCCCUCCUCAAUCCUGUUCCCCAGAUGCCCUCUUCCUCAAAUGUGUUAUUCAGUACCCCUGUGCACAUACAGCUACCAAUACAAGUACAUCCUAAAUACUUGAUGGUGUUUUGAACUUCCAUGUGAAUAGUAUACUUUCUGUGGCUUCAACCUCCUGCUCCUACUCAAUGAUAAUUGUUUUCAAGUUUAUUCACAUGAAUACAGGACGCUCUUGCUCAUUCAUUUCACCUGGAUUAAGUGUUCCUUUUGGAAAAUAUUUAUCUGUCCUCCUGUUGUAGCAUUUGGAUUUUUUUUUCUUUUGCAAGCUUUUUUGGAUCACAUACACAGAGCUGCCAUGGCUGAUGCUACUGUUGGAUGGGUCAGUAUAUGGAUGUUACAGGGACUUCCAACAUUCUUACCUGUAUCACUGGAAGGAGCUUUUCCUCUAACAGAAAUCGUGGGUUGCAUUUCAGUUGUAGAAGCUGCAGUUAUCCCGGGGAGUAUAAGAUGCUCUGGCUUCUGACUUGGGGGAUUCGUGUCUUAGGGGAGCAAAUGUGGCCAGCUUUGGCAAGAAAGCAGUCCCUGAGGAUGUCUGUACAGCCAAACUGGAUCAGAGUCCCACAGAGACCUUGCUGAAAAUCAUUGGCUCUGUCUGUCUUGUUCUUUAGGUCUGUGACUAGAAACAGUGGUCAUUUCUAAGUUUGGUGGUUGUCACUCAGUGACACUGACACAUUGAGGUAGGAAAACCACUGUUUAGAGAGCAGAAGUAGAUUGGGUACACGGAAUCAGGACCAAUCAUACUUGGAGUCUUCUGGGUAACCAUCAUCUGGCAGAGAUUUAGUCUCCCAAAUUCCGUGGUUUCCCUGAUGGGAUCUCUUGGCUCUCUUGAAUGACUGGUUUUAACUGGAAUGCUGACAGAGCCAGAAGGCUUGAGGAAUCUCAUCCUCAUGUGUGUAAGUUGGUAGUGAUUGUUCCUAGUCAUUUUGAUCACCCUGCGUGUGGCCUAUCACUCUUCAAAAUGCUAACCCAAUCUCUUUAUCUCUCUCUCUCUCUCUCUCUCUCUCUCUCUCUCUCUCUCUCUCUCUCUCUCUCUCUCUCUCUCUCCCUGUCCUGUAACUAGCUCUUGUAGACCAGGCUGGCAGGCUGGUCUCAAACUCAUAGAGACUGCCUCUGCCUGCAGAGUGUUGGAAUUAAAGCCACCACUUCCCGGCUCUAACCCAACUUCUUUACUCGGUGGUCUUAAGGCAAGAUUCCAAGGGAAAGAAGCCAUGCUAUUAGAAUGCCAGAGGGUGGGUCCCAGUUUCUUGUAACAUCACUUCCACUGAAUUGUCUUGGCUAACACAGGGUACAAGAGUUACCUGGGGCUAAGAAGAAGAUAACCGGACAACUCCUCAAAGUUUGGGAGGAACAGCAAAGAAACAAUUGCAAAGGAGCAAGGACUGAAAUCUUUCGGCCCUCUUUUUAAAAUUUAAAUUGAGGUUAACAUGCAAGGUAACGGGUUUUGUCAUGACAUCCUUCUAUACAUGUGUCAUUGUCCUUUGUUCUCACUUGUUCUCCCUCUGCCACUCCACUACAGCUGGUUCACUUUCUUCUCCUAAUUCAUCACACCUUAUGCUUCCUAAUCAUUUAUAUUCAAUUGCCCUCUCUAUUUUCACCCUCCUUUAAUGAACCCUGUCAUGGUUUGAAUGAGAAUGGCUCCCGUAGGCUCAUAUACUUGAAUAUAAAAGGAUCCCUGAGGUGUGUAUGUGGAUUUACCUUCCUUUGGGGCUAUAUACCCAUGGUUGGGUGAUGUGGUAGUUCUAUUUUCAGUUUUUGAGAAACCUCUAUACUAGUUUUCAGUGCAUUCAGCCAUCUUUGAAAACAAGUUUUUACUUUUGAAUGGUUUGGGCAGAGAUGGAAUUUUACCAAUCACCAUAGAGAUUUUAGCUACAUUUUUCUGUGCCAUUACUAAAACUGACCAGGAUAUCAUUACUAUCAGGGAUGGUACUUUUAUAAUUACACCAAGGGAUGGACUUUUAAAUUAUUGACCAUGAUUACUUCUUCCCUUAAUCUGAAAGUUAUUUUUAAAAAAUUUACCUUCACCAGCUGGAAGUGGUGCAUGCCUUUAAUCCCAGCACUCAGGAGGGAGACACAGGCAGACCUCUGUGAGUUCAAGGCCAGCCUGGUCUACAGAAAGAGCUCCAGGACAGCCAGGGUUACAGAGAGAAACCCUGUUUCAAAAACAAAAAUCAAGAAUCAAAACCAAAAAACCCUACCUUCAACUUAUAUAAAUUCUGAGAGAUGGCUCAGAGGAUAAGAGCAUUGACUGCUCUUCCAAGGGUCCUGAGUUCAGUUCCCAGCAAACACAUGGUGGCUCACAAUAAGCACUGCGUUCAUACGAUGCAUUGUGCUGUGUCAAAGACACAGCAGUGUGUGUGUGUGUGUGUGUGUGUGUGUGUGUGUGUGAUGCAUUGUGCUGUGUCAUUUUACAGCAGUGAACAGAGGCAUGAUGCCUGCUCAGUUGGUAGUUUAUUCCAUGAAGGAAAGGGAGUAUUAAACAGAUCCCAUUACGAGGUGUUAAGUACUGUAGGAGAAGGGAGGCAUGAGCAGAGAAAACCCAAGACAGGGCUCUGACUUGAAGUUGAUGCAAGAAACACUGAUAUGAGCUAAAUUUUGAGGAACAAGUACAUAUUAUGCAAGCUGAAGGAAUGGAGGGUGGGAAGUAGUAUUUAAGGCAGAAGAAACAUUGUGUACUGAGAGAAUUAAGAAGCCCGAAUGUUUUCAGGCUGAGACAUAAGAGGCAUAAAAGGAAAAAAAUGACUACUACAUGAGACUAGAGAAUUGGCAAAUUAAAAAGAAAGAAAAAAAGAAAGAAAGAAAGAAAGAAAGAAAGAAAGAAAGAAAGUCCCACAGAGCCCUGUAAAGGAGUCUGUCUUUCUCUGAGAGCAACACAAAUGUGUAGGUAUAUGCUAUAGCUAAACUAUGUUCCCUCAAAAUCCUUACAUUGAAAUCCUAAUCCCCAAAGUGACUAUAUCUGAGGGUUACUAUGCUGUGAUGAAACACCAUGACAAAAACCAGCUUGAGGAGGAAAGGGCUUAUUUCACUCACAGUUCCAUAUAACAGCCAUCAUUAAAAGCAGCCAAGACACGGACCUGGAGGCAGGAGCUGAUGCAGAGGCCAUGGAAGGCUGUUGCUUACUAGCUUGCUCCUCAUGUCUUGCUCAACCUGUUUUCUUAUAGAACCCAGGACCAGCAACCCAGGGGUGGCAUCACCCACAGUAGGUUUGGUCCUCCCCCACCAAUCACUAAUUAAGAAAAUGGUCUGCAGGCUUGAUCUUAUGGGGGCAUUUUCUCAACUGAAGUCCCUCCUUUCAAAUGACUCUAGCUUGUGUCAGAUUGUCACAAAACUCACCAGGACAGGGACCUUAUGAAGGAACUCAAAUGAGGUCAUAGGGUGGGGCCCUAGAUCAGAAUGUCUGGUGUUAUUAACAGGAAAGGAUACAUACUGAGGUACAUAUACAGUACAUGAGGGCAUGGAUAGAAAGUCCAUAUGUGGCUGCAGAGAGAAGGCCGCUGACUGCAAGAAUGAGGCCAACCCCAACAGCACCUUGGGUUUGAACUUGCAGCCUCCAGGGCUUUGAGAAAAAUUAAUUUCUGUUGUUUAAGCUAUUUGGUUUGUGUGUUUAGGCCCAGUUGCCUUGGGAGACUAAUACAGCAUGUGAAAUGCUGAGAUUUAUGCUCCUAAUAAACUAUUUUUUAUCUCAUGAGGAGUGGGCCCAAGGAACAUUGCGACCCAAGGAAGAAGGCUGUAAGAGAGAUUUGUACAUCUAGUGAGUAUGAUUUGCAGCUAGCUGGCAGCCAUGAGGGAUCCUUAGAGAUGGGGUAGGUACCAUCUCUAGGAGGCAGAGCCAUGGAAAAAAAGACAGACAUUGAGGCCUGAUGGAUGAGAAGGGCCAGGGAAAGGGGAAAUGGAGACAAGCCCGUACUAAUACACUUAAGGUCUGGCUGGAAAGAAACAAUAGUAAUAGACAGAAGGGAAGUAGAGAAGUUGGUUUUCUUAUAAGAUGAAUGAGAUGUAAGUAUUUUACAGGCUGAUAGAAAGGGUCAUUAAACAGAAGGCAGAGGGAGGGGAUGGAGACAAACAGAUACAAACCACGGGUCCUUCCUGAGGGAGGGAACAAAUGAAUGAAAACAAUGCUGACAUGAGAGCCAAAUGGAUGAAAAGCCAUUUCCUUUACACUCCCAUUUAAAGGCUGUGGCUCAGCUGUCAUCCAUCUUGCUUGCACCCUCCUGCCAACUGAAUAUACUCAGAAAGUAGCUGGGGCUUUGUCUCCUUCAGCCCUGCUUCAGAGCCUCCCUCCUUCCAGCCAUGGACAUGAGCUGAGAGAAAGGGACAGUGGGCCUUCUGGUCUACCUUGGGCCCUCUGUCACUCCAACUCAGUCCCAGAUAUGCCUCUUCUGUCCUAUCAGGUCUGGCUGCUGGAUCUGCUUGGCUUCAGCCCUUGAUGUCUUCUCUGAUAGGGCUCAGUCCAUGAUGGGUAGCUCCAGCUGCAUGGUCACUUUGUCUCCCAGGCACAAAUACUCUGCUUAUCUUCAGGCCCAGAUACAUGCCAGGAAUCAACUUUCAAAGGAUCUUCAUUCUCUGCUGCAGAGGGCAUACCCCCAGCUCGAUGGCAAAGCUCUCCAUAUGCAUCCUUCCCCAUCACCAUAAGAUCUCCUGAGCCAUAUGACUCAAGUGGCAGAAGUGUCUCAGGCCCCAGCCACAUCCUGUUGUGGAGGCUUCCCAGGCCUAGUAUAGGCCCAGAACAGCUCAGUCAGCCAUGCUCACCCUCCCGCUAACACAUGACCCCUGAUGUCAGCAGCCACCAGAAAGAGAAGAGCAUACGCUUUUAACAUCCGCCCCAUGUGUUGAGGGAUUAUAAGCUUAAUAAACAUUUUCUCAUCCCAUCCCUAUAACAUUCUCUAAAAGUUAGACUUAUGCUUUGUAUUUGUUUCUUUUCUCAUUGCUGGAUGGAAUACCUUACAGCUACAACUUAGGGGAAGAAGGAUUUCCUUUAGGUGGAACAUGGCUGGGGGAGAGGCAUGGUAGGGGCGAGUACCAUAGGAGUGAACGUGGCAGGGGGGAGCAUGGUAGGGCGAGCAUGGUGGUAUUCACUGUGGCAGGAACAGCUGCUGUUCAGGGAGUGUGAAGCAGCUUACAAGGUGGCUGACCAAAAAAGCAGAAAAGAUGAGGCUGAGCUGCACCUGGGAUAGAACCCUCUAGCUUCUCCUCUGGACAGCCCUGUGUCUUCAGCUAGGCACCAUGUCCAAAAGGCUCCAUAAUGCCCCAACACAAUGCCACCAGCUAAAGACCAAGUGUUCAAACAUGUGAGUUUGUGGGCCACAACAGUAAGCAUAUAUUUGCUCCAGACAGCAGAUCAAGUAGAUGGUUACACUCAAGUCUAUCUUAAUUAACCAGUGUGUGUGUGUGUGUGUGUGUGUGUGUGUGUGUGUGUGUGUGUAUGUGUGUGUGUGUGUCUGUUCUGUCUCUGUCUCUCUCUCACACACACACACACAAACACACGUGCACACACACAUUCACACAUUCUGUCUACAGAUCCUUAACACCCUCAUGGCUACACCUUGACCAAAUAAAUACCUAGGCAUUCCAUGAACACAAACUAAGCAACCACAGCUGCUCCUGCUGAGUGUGAACAGGCUUGUCAAUGUCUGCUUUGGAGAGUCCACUUUCUUGUGUGAUGAGCUGAAUAUUCUAAUACUAAAACUGUGGCUGUGAGCUCAAGACCCCACCCGGAGCUGAGUUACUGGCAGCUAAAGGCUUCUAGGCAAGGAUCUUUCUUUGCAUGUAUGGCCACUGGCAAGUUACCCAUGGUCAUGUGAGUGGCCCCACACCCAUCUACAUUCCUAGAGCACUAAUUAGACUCAGAGGGUUUUUUUAUUUGUUUGCUUGCUUGCUUGCCUGCUUGCUUUGUUUUGUUUUUUAAGGGGAAAAAGUGAGCUAAACACAUCGUUCAUCUCCGCCCCCCCCCCCCUGCUUCCUGACUGUGGAUGCAAUGUAGCCAGCUGCCUCAGGCUUCUCAUGUCUCGACUUCCCAUCUUGAUGGACUGUACCCUCAAGCUGCGAGCCAAAAUAAACCGUUUCUCCCUUUAAAGACUUGCCCACCGUUAUCUAAAAUGUGACUUCAACUGAGGCAUCCUCAUUUUUUAUCUACUAUAGUUCUUGCUAACCUUAGCACUCCUAGCUUCCGGUCUCUGUAAACCGGAGUGACACCAGAGUCAUAGGAUCAGGCAACCUGUGCCAAGAGAGCACUUUACUGCUUUGAGUGGUUUCAGAAAUGCUACCUGCAGCCCAGGCCAGUAAAGAGAGCAGCUGAGAUAAGCGCCUUGCUGGUCCUGAGGGGACACUUCAUUCCAAGCCUGGAUGAGGCAGACAUGUGAGUUAGCCUACAGGGAGGGUGGGAGACGGCACAGAAGGGCAGCCCCCUCGGACCAGCGGACCAGCGCUGAUACUGUCAGUAAACAGGAAACACCGUCCAGCCACAGCUUCCUGCUCGUCUUGCCAGGGUUUGAAGACCUUCGAAGAAGAUUCAGAACAUUUGUUUGGCAACCUCUAGAUGGCUCAGCAGCUCCCUACCCAGUAGUACCUCAGGCUUUGCAGCACCCACUUCAUUCCCCGAGUCAGACCAGAGAAAGAACCCCAGAUCUGAUUGGCAGGACGAGGAGCGUCCCAGCAGGAGUGGGAGGAGCCUUCAGCCUGUUAACUUAGUCCAUCUUGCUGAUCUCUUGGUCACUUCUCCUGCUCUUGCAGUUAAUGUCAACUGGCUGUCCCCAGAGACCUCUCUGUCCUCCAUGGUCCUAUGUACUCUGUGGAGCCUCCCUGUAGGCAGGCUCCAAAAAGCUGGGAAAAAUGAGUAGAUGCACAGGCCAGUUCAGAGGCUCGAGGGAGGUGGGGGGACUGAGACCCUCUUGUUACAGACCCUCACAUGAUAGAAAGAAAGAUACAGCCUUAGCCUGAGGGAGAAACCACCACCAAUGAAAAUGAGGACAUGGCUUUUAUUGUAGAUAUAAGGGAGAGAACAGUCAGAGGCAUCUGGAAGAGCCCAGAUUGAACAUGGCUAGCAGAGUUGAUCAGGUGUGGGGGGGGGCGAGGGGGGGGCGGGAGCUGCAGAGCAAGAAGAUAAGGAGAGGGGCAAAAGCCAAGAGCAAAGGUCAAAGAGAGAGAAGAACCAACAGGACAAGAGAGAGCAUGGCUGGAAUGGCUGAGUUAUAUAGGAAAGAGAUGCUGAGGGAAGGGAAGGGCAGCUGGGGGAUGGGGGGUUUAGGUAGCUGGAGACGUUUGGGGUAGGAAGUGCUGAGAGGAGCCAGGACUCUGUAACAGGUACUUACAAUGCUGAAAGAGCCUGGUGUCAGCUUUGAUAUGUUAAUAGGCCAUUUGUCACUUGGCCAUUUGUCCUGGGUUUCUUUCGGACCUGAUAUCACCUACCUGUCACCAGCUCUGUCCCUACUUGCUGCUUAGAAAACUUCUUUCUUCUUCUUUCUUCUUCUUCUUCUUCUUCUUCUUCUUCUUCUUCUUCUUCUUCUUCUUCUUCUUCUUCUUCUUCUUCUUUGUUUUGUUUUUUGAAACAGGGUAUCUCUGUGCUGGCCUCAAAUUCACAGGGAUCUGCCCUGUGCUGGAAUUAAAGGUGUGUGCCACCACCUUUAAUCAGCUGGAAAGCCGAUUUCUUUUAUUUGUUUGUUUGUUUGUUUGUUUGUUUAUUAUGUAUACAACAUUCUGCUUCCAUGUAUAUCUGCACACCAGAAGAGGGCACCAGAUCUCAUAACAGAUGGUUGUGAGCCACCAUGUGGUUGCUGGGAAUUGAACUCAGGACCUCUGGAGGAGCAGCCAGUGCUCUGAACCUCUGAGCCAUCCCUCCAGCACCCGAAAGCUGAUUUCUUAAUGUGGAGUCUCCUUAUCAUUAUUUACUCUGCCUGCUACUCCAGCCAGUACAGAAAGCAGUGGCCUAUGGAAGGACUUUUGAACUGUGAGUUGAUCUUAGUUAGGGCUCUUCUGGACUGAGGAAACAGAUAUUACAUAGGAUAAGAUAGGAGGAAAAAAAAAAAGGAGCUGCACUUGCUCCCAAGAAAGGGAGAGGCAUGCUUGUUCAUCUCUCAUUCUGGCAUUUCCAUGUGAGUCAGCAUCUUCCUCUGUCAGUCUGCUUCUCUCAUGAACCUGGAGCCAGCGUCACCUCCCAGGAGAAUCCCUCUUGCCUCCUAGAAGUGACCUGAACAGUCCCAGCAGGGUCUGCUUGCAGCCAUAUGCCCAUGCAGAGACUGGGGGCAGUCUGUUGUGAAAUCCCUUCUACAAGUACAUACUUAGGGAGCUGGGAGGAGGGACUGUCACAAAAUAAACAAGGUAUCUUUCCUAGGAGAAUAAAUGUGCUAGGAAGGUAUCGAUAUGGAGUGGCAGUCUUUAUCAAAGACAUUACUGUCACUGUCAUUAACAUCAACAUAAGACAUCUGUGACAUUUUCCCAAUUCUAGUUGCUUUUGGGAUAAACAUCUUGGUAGCUGGGGGCACAGAUUUUGGACCCGGAUGGUCUGAUUCAAAUUUUGCUUCUACCACUAUACUAUGUGAUAUUGGGUAAACUGCUUAACCUCUCAAUGCUUGUCUAUGACAAUUAAAUAAUUCAAUACAUAAGGGGCAUGAAGAAGCAUGCCUGGUGUGGGCCAGGUGCUUCACAGAUGUUACUUAUUUUUUUAUUACCAGUGCUUGGUAACCCCAGUAUAAGAAAUGUCUGGAAAAACAAAACAAACAAACAAUAAAAACCCCACUGCUCUCCAUUUACCCUCACCCCAAUUUCCUUGUGAGAGCUAGUGCCUUCAGGAAUUCAAUAACAACUUGCCAAGUUCUGUGUAAGCCUUGAGUAUUACAGAUGUUGAUAGAUGUGAGUCUUCCCCAGAAGCUCAUUGCCAAGCAAGGAGACGGAUCACCAAAGACAUCAUUUUACUGCUACUUGGCCUGUGCUGUGUGGAAGCUGUAUCCAUCAAGGAUCUCCAGAGGAAGAGACCAGUGGAGUAAAGGCAUAUUAAAAGGAGAUUCCCUGGACUGGCUUGCACGGCACAAGCUAGGAGGUCCAGCUAUGGCUGUCUGCAUUCUGGAGAGUCUGGAAACCCAGUAGCUCCCCCAGUUCAUGAAGCUGAAAACCUCAGCAGUCCCAAUAUGACACUGAAAACCUUGAGGAUCCCUGGAGAGUCCCUGGUCUUUGGUCUACAUUUGAAGGCUGAGAAGGCUGGGUUCUGGUGUCUGCAAAGACAGUGGCAGCUACAGAGUAGAUGCACUCACCAGCAGGGAAUGAAGGGUAUUCUCCUCAGGAAGACGGGAUGCUGGAAUUUCACUAUGGAACUACGCAGGAUCUGGGCUCAACAACAGUUCACAAUUCAGGACUGUGCUAGAACAGAAAUAAGGUUUCAUUCCCAAUUUGCUGGUAGAGAGUCCCUAAAACCUUUGGAACGACUAGAAUGCUGAAUAUUUUUAUAUGGUAAUAAAAUGGUAAGUGCCUGGGGCCCCCAGGCUGGUUUAGAACUUUCAAUCCACUACCCCCAGGAAGGGGACAGAAGAGAUAGCAUUCAAGCAAUAACUUAAUCAGUCAUUCAUACCUAAGGACACCUCUAUAAAAACUCCUGAAUGACAGGAUUUGGAAAUCUUCUGAGUAAAGCCAGGCUGUGGUGGUGCAUGCCUUUAAUCUCAGAGGCAGGUGGAUCUCUGUGAGUUCGAGACCAGCCUGGUCUACAAGAGCUAGUUCCAGGACAGCCUCCAAAAACACAGAGAAACCCUGUCUCUGAAAGAAAAAAAAAAAAGAAAAGAAAGAAGAAAUCUUCUAAGUAAACACAUGGAGGUACUAGAGAAAGUUGGGUGACUUUUCCUGAGAAGACGUCAACAAACAUCUAUUUACCCAGCAAGAGGGCUCAGCAAACAGAGACACUCAUGUGCAGACCUGACCACCCUGGGAAUCUUGUGAAUUUCAGGAGCUUCCAGAGACUUGUUAGUUAUCUACUUCCUGAGCCUUGUAAGUUUUGUUAACUUCGUGAGUCUUAACAAACCUCCCUCCAGGAUGGAGUAUUUCAAACCAGAGGAAACUGUUGCUAUCCAAGAAAGUGAACCAGAGCUGACCUCGAAGCUGCAUUCCUCUCCUCUGACCUUGCACUGUGCAUCUCUUCCAUUGAGUGUUUCUAAGUUGAACUUUUUAUAUUCAGUUGGUAAUCAUAAAUAAAAUGGCUUUCUGAAUACUGUGAAUCAUUCUAGCAAAUUAUUCUGCUUGAAGGGGGAAGCUAUAGGAAUGCCCUAUUCCAAAGUCACGCUGGAUAGAUGUGUAGGUAGCA